rnacentral:rRNA from 1 species
CCUACGGGUGGCAGCAGUGAGGAAUAUUGGUCAAUGGGCGCGAGCCUGAACCAGCCAAGUAGCGUGAAGGAUGAAUGCCCUACGGGUUGUAAACUUCUUUUAUAAAGGAAUAAAGUGAGGCACGUGUGCCUUUAUGUAUGUCCUUUAUGAAUAAGGAUCGGCUAACUCCGUGCCAGCAGCCGCGGUAAUAAGGAGGAUUCGCGCGUUAUCCGGAUUUAUUGGGUGUAAAGGGAGCGUAGAUGGGUUGUUAAGUCAGUUGUGAAAGUUUGCGGCUCAACCGUAAAAUUGCAAUUGAUACUGGCAGUCUUGAGUACAGUUGAGGUAGGCGGAAUUCGUGGUGUAGCGGUGAAAUGCUUAGAUAUCACGAAGAACUCCGAUUGCGAAGGCAGCUUACUGGACUGCCACUGACGUUGAUGCUCGAAAGUGUGGGGAUCAAACAGGAUUAGAUACCCCAGUAGUC